AAUUAUAAUGAAUUUUUUCUAAUAAGAACCAUCGAGAACAAAUGAGAAUAAAUCUCAACCCUUAAAAGAUGUCAAAAUAAUUUUUAAUUAUUUUUUUAAAGUUAUAGUAAUUUCAAAAGUUAAAAGCUAACAAUAAUUAAUCACAACUGAUGGGCGUUGAAACCACCAAGUAUAAAUUCCUACGACAAAAUAACAGUAAAUAACAGUAUAGAACAGUGGGGUCGAAUCCACAAGGACUGGUUGUUUAAUUUCGCAUUUUCUUGCUACCAAAAUUACUGUCAUGGUAACAGUCGUGCCCACAACCAAUAUGUUGCAAUGCUGGAAAAUAAAAAAAGGGAGAGUUUAGUGGAUAAAGAUAAUAAUAUUAAAAGAAGAAAAAGAAAUAUGUAUAUGAAAUAAAGUAAAAACUUGAUUGCAAAAAAAAAAAAAAGAAAUAAAAUUAAAUGGAAAAAUAAAAUAUUUUUUAAAGCUUAGCCAUAACUUUGGUGCACUCCAAUCUUGAAUCAAUUAGCGACAAAGAACGUCUCGAUCGCCAACUUUUCCUUAUGUAGUUGAUCCCCGUAUGACUUGUGUAGGGCCCAAAUUUUACCUGGCCCAAGAUACAGACCCAAAUCACUAAAAUUAAAAGGCCCGAUUACAAGCCCAAUGACCCAAAAUUUUUCAAAAAAUAGCAAACCCUAGGGUUCCAUUUGCCCACGCCGCAACUCUCACGCUUCAACAUACACGAACGGAUUCCUAGCUCGCACGUUGCACGAUCAUGCACUCUUCCUCGAGGAUUUCACAGCAUCUGCGACUUGAGCAAAGAAAUAGGCAUAAACUGUUUGUAUUUUGGCUAUAAAGCCUUUGUUUUUCAUUGUAAAAGGGACGAUUUUUGAAUACAAAAUAUACACGAAAAAAACAAUAAGAGAUCAGCCAAACGAAUACACUUCAAAAGGUGGUUGUUCAUCAUUAUUUUAUUAUGUUUUUCUUUUUUUUUUCAUUUUCAUUUGAGUCAACGGAAUACAAACUAAUAUUUUAUAAAAGAGAGAGAUGUACCUUUCGAUUCGUUGGCAAAAGGGGGGGAACUUUGGCCUUCCGAUGGCUGUUUACGACCGCGCAUGAGGCGGCGAAUGAGAGCUGGGUUUUAGCCCUUCGGCUGGGAAGUGAGGGAGAAGAGAUGAUUCUAGGUUUUUUUUAAAAAAAAAAAACAAAAGGGUAAAAUAUUUUUAAGGAAAAAGGGGUUUUGAAAAAAGGUUUUGGGUUUUCUAAAUUUUUAAUGUUUUUUAAAAAAUAAUAAUAAAUGUUAUGUUUAAUUUUAAUGGCAUUUUGGGGAAGGGAAAGAGAUAGCCUAAGCGUGGACAGGAUGGAUCUGCGCAUGUUUCCCUUAAAUGGGUAAUUUGUGCUUCUAGUCCUUCCCAUUCGCGCCAGUUUUAAAUUGAC
rnacentral:lncRNA from 1 species